rnacentral:rRNA from 1 species
GGUUAAGCGACUAAGCGUACACGGUGGAUGCCCUGGCAGUCAGAGGCGAUGAAGGACGUGCUAAUCUGCGAUAAGCGUCGGUAAGGUGAUAUGAACCGUUAUAACCGGCGAUUUCCGAAUGGGGAAACCCAGUGUGUUUCGACACACUAUCAUUAACUGAAUCCAUAGGUUAAUGAGGCGAACCGGGGGAACUGAAACAUCUAAGUACCCCGAGGAAAAGAAAUCAACCGAGAUUCCCCCAGUAGCGGCGAGCGAACGGGGAGCAGCCCAGAGCCUGAAUCAGUGUGUGUGUUAGUGGAAGCGUCUGGAAAGGCGCGCGAUACAGGGUGACAGCCCCGUACACAAAAAUGCACAUAUUGUGAGCUCGAUGAGUAGGGCGGGACACGUGGUAUCCUGUCUGAAUAUGGGGGGACCAUCCUCCAAGGCUAAAUACUCCUGACUGACCGAUAGUGAACCAGUACCGUGAGGGAAAGGCGAAAAGAACCCCGGCGAGGGGAGUGAAAAAGAACCUGAAACCGUGUACGUACAAGCAGUGGGAGCCUCUUUUAUGGGGUGACUGCGUACCUUUUGUAUAAUGGGUCAGCGACUUAUAUUCUGUAGCAAGGUUAACCGAAUAGGGGAGCCGAAGGGAAACCGAGUCUUAACUGGGCGUUAAGUUGCAGGGUAUAGACCCGAAACCCGGUGAUCUAGCCAUGGGCAGGUUGAAGGUUGGGUAACACUAACUGGAGGACCGAACCGACUAAUGUUGAAAAAUUAGCGGAUGACUUGUGGCUGGGGGUGAAAGGCCAAUCAAACCGGGAGAUAGCUGGUUCUCCCCGAAAGCUAUUUAGGUAGCGCCUCGUGAAUUCAUCUCCGGGGGUAGAGCACUGUUUCGGCAAGGGGGUCAUCCCGACUUACCAACCCGAUGCAAACUGCGAAUACCGGAGAAUGUUAUCACGGGAGACACACGGCGGGUGCUAACGUCCGUCGUGAAGAGGGAAACAACCCAGACCGCCAGCUAAGGUCCCAAAGUCAUGGUUAAGUGGGAAACGAUGUGGGAAGGCCCAGACAGCCAGGAUGUUGGCUUAGAAGCAGCCAUCAUUUAAAGAAAGCGUAAUAGCUCACUGGUCGAGUCGGCCUGCGCGGAAGAUGUAACGGGGCUAAACCAUGCACCGAAGCUGCGGCAGCGACACUAUGUGUUGUUGGGUAGGGGAGCGUUCUGUAAGCCUGUGAAGGUGUGCUGUGAGGCAUGCUGGAGGUAUCAGAAGUGCGAAUGCUGACAUAAGUAACGAUAAAGCGGGUGAAAAGCCCGCUCGCCGGAAGACCAAGGGUUCCUGUCCAACGUUAAUCGGGGCAGGGUGAGUCGACCCCUAAGGCGAGGCCGAAAGGCGUAGUCGAUGGGAAACAGGUUAAUAUUCCUGUAC